AUUGAACGCUGGCGGCAGGCCUAACACAUGCAAGUCGAGCGAGCGGCGGACGGGUGAGUAAUGUAUGGGGACUGCCCGAUAGAGGGGGAUAACUACUGGAAACGAUAGCUAAUACCGCAUACUCUCGGCUAACACAUAUGGGAUUAGCUAGUAGGUGAGGUAAUGGCUCACCUAGGCGACGAUCCCUAGCUGGUCUGAGAGGAUGAUCAGCCACACUGGGACUGAGACACGGCCCAGACUCCUACGGAGGCAGAAGUGGGGAAUAUUGCACAAUGGGCGCAAGCCGGAUGCAGCCAUGCCGCGUGUAUGAAGAAGGCCCUAGGGUUGUAAAGUACUUUCAGUCGGGAGGCGUUACCGACAGAAGAAGCACCGGCUAACUCCGUGCCAGCAGCCGCGGUAAUUC
rnacentral:rRNA from 1 species